AGAGUUUGAUCAUGGCUCAGAACGAACGCUGGCGGCGUGGAUAAGACAUGCAAGUCGGACGAGAUUUCGUCCUGUAGCAAUACGGGAAGAAGUCUAGUGGCGAACGGGUGCUUAACACGUGGGCAAUCUGUCUUAAAGUGGGGGGAUAGCUCGGCGAAAGCCGAAUUAAUACCGCAUGUGAUUAGAGUGGACAUCCAUUCAAAAUUAAAGUCGGGGCAACCUGACGCUUUUUGAGGAGCCCGCGGCCUAUCAGCUAGUUGGUGAGGUAACGGCUCACCAAGGCUUUGACGGGUAGCUGGUCUGAGAGGACGACCAGCCACACUGGGACUGAGACACGGCCCAGACACCUACGGGUGGCAGCAGUCGAGAAUUUUUCUCAAUGGGGGAAACCCUGAAGGAGCGACGCCGCGUGGAGGAUGAAGGUCUUCGGAUUGUAAACUCCUGUCAUUGGGGAACAAGGUGCAUACGUUAACUGCGUGUGCAUUGAUAGUACCCGAAGAGGAAGAGACGGCUAACUCUGUGCCAGCAGCCGCGGUAAUACAGAGGUCUCAAGCGUUGUUCGGAUUCAUUGGGCGUAAAGGGUGCGUAGGCGGCGCGGUAAGUCGGGUGUGAAAUCUCGGAGCUUAACUCCGAAACUGCAUUCGAUACUGCCGUGCUUGAGGACUGGAGAGGAGACUGGAAUUUACGGUGUAGCGGUGAAAUGCGUAGAUAUCGUAAGGAAGACCAGUGGCGAAGGCGGGUCUCUGGACAGUUCCUGACGCUGAGGCACGAAGGCCAGGGGAGCAAACGGGAUUAGAUACCCCAGUAGUCC
rnacentral:rRNA from 1 species